AUUGAACGCUGGCGGCAGGCCUAACACAUGCAAGUCGAACGAUUGGCGGAAGGGUGAGUAAUGUCUGGGAAACUGCCUGAUGGCGGGGGAUAACUACGGGAAACGGUCGCUAAUACCGCCUACUUUCAAUUGUGACUAGUGGGGAUUCGCUAGUUGGUGGGGUAACGGGUCACCAAGGCGACGAUCCCUAGCUGGUCUGAGCGGAUGACCUGCCACAAUGGAACUGUGACACGGGCCCGACGCCUACGGUAGUAAGCAGUGGAGAAUAGUGGACAAUGGGCGCAAGCCUGAUGCAGCCAUGCCGCGUGGAGGAAGAGGGCCUUAAGGUUGUAAGGUAGUAACAGCGGGGAGCCGGUACGCGCAGAAGAAGCGCCGGCUAACUCCGUGCCAGCAGCCGCGGUAAUAC
rnacentral:rRNA from 1 species